GUCGUUGGUACGCGUCUGAUGGAGCACGCCGCGUGAGUGAAGAAGGGUUUCGGCUCGUAAAACUCUGUUGUUAAAGAAGAACAUAUCUGAGAGUAACUGUUCAGGUAUUGACGGUAUUUAACCAGAAAGCCACGGCUAACUACGUGCCAGCAGCCGCGGUAAUACGUAGGUGGCAAGCGUUGUCCGGAUUUAUUGGGCGUAAAGCGAGCGCAGGCGGUUUUUUAAGUCUGAUGUGAAAGCCUUCGGCUCAACCGAAGAAGUGCAUCGGAAACUGGGAAACUUGAGUGCAGAAGAGGACAGUGGAACUCCAUGUGUAGCGGUGAAAUGCGUAGAUAUAUGGAAGAACACCAGUGGCGAAGGCGGCUGUCUGGUCUGUAACUGACGCUGAGGCUCGAAAGUAUGGGUAGCAAACAGGAUUAGAUACCGGGUUAUUCCGA
rnacentral:rRNA from 1 species